rnacentral:rRNA from 1 species
AUGAACGCUGGCGGCGUGCUUAACACAUGCAAGUCGAACGAGCCUUCGGGCUAGUGGCGGACGGGUGAGUAACGCGUGGGAAUCUGCCCUCAGGAGGGGGAUAACGGCCGGAAACGGCCGCUAAUACCCCAUAUGCCGAGAGGUGAAAUGAAUUUCGCCUGAGGAUGAGCCCGCGUCUGAUUAGCUAGUUGGUGGGGUAAUGGCCCACCAAGGCGACGAUCAGUAGCUGGUCUGAGAGGAUGAUCAGCCACACUGGGACUGAGACACGGCCCAGACUCCUACGGGAGGCAGCAGUGGGGAAUUUUCCGCAAUGGGCGAAAGCCUGACGGAGCAACGCCGCGUGAGGGAUGAAGGCCUCUGGGCUGUAAACCUCUUUUCUCAAGGAAGAAGACAUGACGGUACUUGAGGAAUAAGCCACGGCUAAUUCCGUGCCAGCAGCCGCGGUAAUACGGGAGUGGCAAGCGUUAUCCGGAAUUAUUGGGCGUAAAGCGUCCGCAGGCGGCCUUGUAAGUCUGUCGUUAAAGCGUGGAGCUUAACUCCAUUUAAGCGAUGGAAACUACAAGGCUUGAGUGUGGUAGGGGCAGAGGGAAUUCCCGGUGUAGCGGUGAAAUGCGUAGAUAUCGGGAAGAACACCAGUGGCGAAGGCGCUCUGCUGGGCCAUAACUGACGCUCAUGGACGAAAGCCAGGGGAGCGAAAGGGAUUAGAUACCCCUGUAGUCCUGGCCGUAAACGAUGAACACUAGGUGUCGGGGGAAUCGACCCCCUCGGUGUCGUAGCUAACGCGUUAAGUGUUCCGCCUGGGGAGUACGCACGCAAGUGUGAAACUCAAAGGAAUUGACGGGGGCCCGCACAAGCGGUGGAGUAUGUGGUUUAAUUCGAUGCAACGCGAAGAACCUUACCAGGGUUUGACAUCCUGCGAAUCCCUUGGAAACGAGGGAGUGCCUUCGGGAGCGCAGAGACAGGUGGUGCAUGGCUGUCGUCAGCUCGUGUCGUGAGAUGUUGGGUUAAGUCCCGCAACGAGCGCAACCCACGUCUUUAGUUGCCAGCAUUCAGUUGGGCACUCUAGAGAGACCGCCGGUGAUAAACCGGAGGAAGGUGUGGAUGACGUCAAGUCAUCAUGCCCCUUACAUCCUGGGCUACACACGUACUACAAUGCUACGGACAAAGGGUUGCAAGCUCGCGAGAGUUAGCUAAUCCCAUAAACCGUGGCUCAGUUCAGAUCGUAGGCUGCAACUCGCCUACGUGAAGGAGGAAUCGCUAGUAAUCGCAGGUCAGCAUACUGCGGUGAAUACGUUCCCGGGCCUUGUACACACCGCCCGUCACACCAUGGAAGUUGGCCAUGCCCGAAGUCGUUACUCCAACCCUUGUGGAGGAGGACGCCGAAGGUGGGGCUGAUGACUGGGGUGAAGUCGUAACAAGGUAGCCGUACCGGAAGGUGCGGCUGGAUCACCUCCUA